GGCUCCGUAGUUCAGCUGAAUAGAAUGCAGGAUUCCGGUUCCUGAGAUCGCGGGUUUGAAUCCCGCCGGAGUCACCC
rnacentral:tRNA from 4 species